CUGAGAGAACCCGUCAGGAGAACCUGGAGUCUGGACCGCAGAUGUUGUUCAUUUGUCACCGAUUUCUGAUGAGAUUCCUCCGGUAACGUGCGCUGUGUGAAGUUUCUGUUCAGCCCUGCCUCCAGCUAGCAG